rnacentral:rRNA from 1 species
GACGAACGCUGGCGGCGUGCUUAACACAUGCAAGUCGAACGGAAAGGCCCUGCUUUUGUGGGGUGCUCGAGUGGCGAACGGGUGAGUAACACGGGAGUAACCUGCCCUUGACUUUGGGAUAACUUCAGGAAACUGGGGCUAAUACCGGAUAGGAGCUCCUGCUGCAUGGUGGGGGUUGGAAAGUUUCGGCGGUUGGGGAUGGACUCGCGGCUUAUCAGCUUGUUGGUGGGGUAGUGGCUUACCAAGGCUUUGACGGGUGGCCGGCCUGAGAGGGUGACCGGCCACAUUGGGACUGAGAUACGGCCCAGACUCCUACGGGAGGCAGCAGUGGGGAAUAUUGCACAAUGGGCGGAAGCCUGAUGCAGCAACGCCGCGUGCGGGAUGACGGCCUUCGGGUUGUAAACCGCUUUCGCCUGUGACGAAGCGUGAGUGACGGUAAUGGGUAAAGAAGCACCGGCUAACUACGUG